rnacentral:rRNA from 1 species
AGUGGGAAGCCGUCUCUAAGAUAAGAUCUCGUUUCCGUCGCAAGACGGGAGAAGACCCCUGGAAGACUACCAGGUUGAUAGGCUGGCGGUGGAAGCACAGUAAUGUGUUAAGCUUACCAGUACUAAUGGUCGAGCAGUAGAUUAU